GUAGUUCUCCUGGGUUCGCGGGGCGGCGGGGACGGCUCGCGGCCUUUCUGGGGCUUUUGGCGCGGGUGAUCCCGGAACUGCUAGGGCACCGUGCCUGGGACUGAGAAGCUCCCGGUUGCCUCUUUCGGGUGGCGGUCGGAGCCAGCGCCUGUGACCGUCUGGGCUGACCUACCUUGUCAAGCACGCUGCUCUCCCUUGACAGGAAUACUAAGAAGGAAAGAAUGGCUGUGGAUUUGCUACCUGCUCAGGUGACAGUACGUGGGGAGUUUCUUGCCUUUUGGGAGCUCUGAGGUCUUCUGCCAGCCUUCAGUAGGAGUUCUGUAGGAGUUGUUCCACGUGUGGAUGUAUUUCUGGUGUAUCCGUGGGGAGGAAGGUGAUCUCCGCGUCUUACUCUUCCGCCAUCUUCAGGGUCCCCCUCAUUAUCAUUUUCGGAACCAUUAUGUGUCUAUCAAGUAAUUUUAAAUGAUCAAAUUUAAAUGUUGUAUUUUUAACAUGGGAGGAUAUAUAUGAUAUAUCAAUAAGAAACUUAAGGGCAUGAAACAAUAAUCAUUUAUUAUUUUUCACAGUUUUUCUGGGUCAGGAAUGCAGACAGGCAGCAGAGACAACUUAUCUCUCCUGUACAAAGCCUGGGGUCUCAGCUGAAAGACUCAAAGUUUAGAGGCUAGAAUCAUCUGAAGUGUCUUUCACUCACAUGUAUAGUAGUUGAUGCCAGCUCCUGGCUGAGACCUUAGCUAGGGCUGUUGGAUUAAACAUCCACUUGUAGUCCCUUUGUGUGUCUUGGGCUUACAAUAUGGUGGCCAGAUUCCAAGGGUGAACAUCAAGUGAGCCAGGUGGAAAGCGUAUUCUUUCCUCGGAAGUCACAUAACAUUACUUCCACUGAAUUCUACUGGUCACGGCACCUAGAAUCCCCUACACAGAUUGAAAGGAAGGAAACAUAGACCUCACUUCUUGGUGGGAGAAGUGUCAGUGUCACAUUAUAGAAGAGCAUGUGAUAUGGGAGGUAUAUUGGUAUGGUCAUCUUUGGAAAGUACAAUCUGCCACAUCUGUCAGAAUUAAAAAUGCACAUAUACUUUGAGCCAAUAGUUCAACCUCUACCAGUUUAUCUUAUAAAUAUAGAUGUACACAUACCCAGAGAUAUCUGCAUGAGAGUGGUCAUUGUGCAUUGUAUGUGACAGCAAAAAACAGAAACCAUCUAAAUACCCAUCAAUAAAGGAAAUGGUAAAUAAGUUUUGGUAUCUGUACAAUGGCAUAUAUCAUGUAGUUGUUAAAAACAAUAAGGUGUGUAUAUGCAGAUGUGGCAAGAUCUGUAAGAUACAAGUUAAACAUUCAGAAUUUUUCCAUUAAAAACAAGAAUACAUAUGUGUAUUUGCACAAAACAUUUCUGGAAAGAAAGAAGAAAAACUUGAUACCAGUUACCUAUAGGAUGGAGCUGCUAACAUAUCACUGUGUGCUCUUUUGUGCUCUUCAUAUUCUUUACCAUGUGUCUGUUUUCCUCUUGUUUAAAUAAAUGGCCAAAAGAACACAUGG
rnacentral:lncRNA from 1 species